rnacentral:rRNA from 1 species
ACUGAACGCUGGCGGCAUGCCUUACACAUGCAAGUCGAACGGCAGCACGGGGCAACCUGGUGGCGAGUGGCGAACGGGUGAGUAAUGCAUCGGAACGUGCCAUUGAGUGGGGGAUAACGUAGCGAAAGUUGCGCUAAUACCGCAUAUUCUGUGAGCAGGAAAGCAGGGACCGCAAGGCCUUGCGCUCUUUGAGCGGCCGAUGUCAGAUUAGCUAGUUGGUGAGGUAACGGCUUACCAAGGCGACGAUCUGUAGCGGGUCUGAGAGGAUGAUCCGCCACACUGGAACUGAGACACGGUCCAGACUCCUACGGGAGGCAGCAGUGGGGAAUUUUGGACAAUGGGCGCCGAAGCCUCGAUCCAGCCAUG